AUUGAACGCUGGCGGCAGGCCUAACACAUGCAAGUCGAACGGUAACAGGAAGCAGCUUGCUGCUUCGCUGACGAGUGGCGGACGGGUGAGUAAUGUCUGGGAAACUGCCUGAUGGAGGGGGAUAACUACUGGAAACGGUAGCUAAUACCGCAUAACGUCGCAAGACCAAAGAGGGGGACCUUCGGGCCUCUUGCCAUCGGAUGUGCCCAGAUGGGAUUAGCUAGUAGGUGGGGUAACGGCUCACCUAGGCGACGAUCCCUAGCUGGUCUGAGAGGAUAGCCAGCCACACUGGAACUGGGACACGGUCCAGACUCCUACGGGAGGCAGCAGUGGGGAAUAUUGCACAAUGGGCGCAAGCCUGAUGCAGCCAUGCCGCGUGUAUGAAGAAGGCCUUCGGGUUGUAAAGUACUUUCAGCGGGGAGGAAGGGAGUAAAGUUAAUACCUUUACUCAUUGACGUUACCCGCAGAAGAAGCACCGGCUAACUCCGUGCCAGCCGCCGCGGUAA
rnacentral:rRNA from 1 species